AAGUUACCAAGUUGCCAACUUGGUCUCAUAGGCUUCCACUUGAGACAUCAGGCUCUCCACCUUAGUUGCCAGGUCAUAGUUCUGCCAUUUUAUCCUCUAUGUUAGAGGUUCUUGUUCCUAGACCUAGAAGGUCCUUACAAAGGUUGCCAAUGAACAUCUGCAAGUGGUUUUGCAGACAUAUCGUCUAACAUCGUUUGCAUUGCCGCUUGAGUUACUG